rnacentral:rRNA from 1 species
UGCAGAAUCCCGUGAACCAUCGAGUCUUUGAACGCAAGUUGCGCCCCAAGCCUUCGGGCCGAGGGCACGUCUGCCUGGGUGUCACAA